rnacentral:lncRNA from 1 species
GAAAAUUGAAAGGAGAAGAUGGCGACUACACAAAAAAUAUAGUCUACAAACAAAUUCUUUUAUCGCACCCGCGGGUAUUUAUUAAGUACAUUGAAAAAAUUGCUCACACGUUGAUUCUCAUUUUGGUUACACGACAUACCAAGCUUAUAUUGUAUUAUUUAUAUCAUAGAUAGAUAAUAACUAAAUAUAAUUUUCUUUUGC